UGCCCUGUGGCGCAAUUGGUUAGCGCGUCUGACUGUUAACGAAUACCAACCGUUUUCGGUAUCAGGAGGUUGUGAGUUCGAGUCUCACCGGGGCAG